rnacentral:rRNA from 1 species
AUACGGAGGGUGCAAGCGUUACUCGGAAUCACUGGGCGUAAAGCGCGCGCAGGCGGCUUGAUAAGUUGGAUGUGAAAGCCUACGGCUCAACCGUAGAACUGCAUCCAAAACUGUCAGGCUUGAGUGUGGGAGAGGAAGAUGGAAUUAGUUGUGUAGGGGUAAAAUCCGUAGAGAUAACUAGGAAUACCAAAAGCGAAGGCAAUCUUCUGGAACACUACUGACGCUGAGGCGCGAAGGCGUGGGGAGCAAACAGGAUUAGAAACCCGGGUAGUCC